GAUUAACGCUAGCGGCAGGCCUAAUACAUGCAAGUCGAGGGGCAGCGGGAGUAGCAAUACUUGCCGGCGACCGGCGCACGGGUGCGUAACACGUAUACAACCUUCCUUUAACUGGAGGAUAGCCCCGAGAAAUCGGGAUUAACACUCCAUAACAUAAUGAUGUGGCAUCAUAUUAUUAUUAAAACUCCGGUGGUUAAAGAUGGGUAUGCGUAACAUUAGCUAGUUGGUGAGGUAANGGCUCACCAAGGCUACGAUGUUUAGGGGACCUGAGAGGGUUAACCCCACACUGGUACUGAGACACGGACCAGACUCCUACGGGAGGCAGCAGUAAGGAAUAUUGGACAAUGGUCGCAAGACUGAUCCAGCCAUGCCGCGUGAAGGAUGACGGCGCUAUGCGUUGUUAAAC
rnacentral:rRNA from 1 species